rnacentral:snRNA from 1 species
GUGCUCACUUCGGCAGCACAUAUACUAAAACUGGAACGAUACAGAGAAGAUUAGCAUGGCCCCUGCGCAAGGAUGACAUGCUAAUUCGUGAAGUGUUCCAUAUUUUU